rnacentral:tRNA from 1 species
AGAAACUUAGGAUUACGCAAACCGAAGGCCUUCAAAGCCUUAAACAAGAGUUAAACCCUCUUAGUUUCUG